UACGGAGGGGACUAGCGUUGUUCGGAAUUACUGGGCGUAAAGCGCACGUAGGCGGAUUUGUAAGUCAGGGGUGAAAUCCCGGGGCUCAACCUCGGAACUGCCUUUGAUACUGCAAAUCUCGAGUCCGGAAGAGGUGAGUGGAAUUCCUAGUGUAGAGGUGAAAUUCGUAGAUAUUAGGAAGAACACCAGUGGCGAAGGCGGCUCACUGGUCCGGUUCUGACGCUGAGGCGCGAAAGCGUGGGGAGCAAACGGGG
rnacentral:rRNA from 1 species